AAUAAUUAAUUAUGCAUUUAACUAUGUUAGCAUGCCAAAUAUUUUUUAAUAUCAAAUAAUAUUUAUGGAUUCUUUCGAUUGCGACAAUCCUCAGUUUGACCUGAGUGACGCGGAUGUCGCAGUCCUCGUAUUCGAUUACUGCAGUUCUCUCAGAUGUGAAAACGGAAACGUACUCAGAAAAAAAUUCGCCAGAGCUUGGACCGAAUUGGCGAUUGAAAAGGGCCUCGGGGAAGCCUUGGCUAAGUUCAAUCUCGAAGGCGUUAGAAGGGCUCUGGUACCCGGAAGGGAAUACGACGACCUGUCCUCAAUUUUAGGCAUCAAAAAUCAAUCCUAUUUCGAAAAAGCCGGGAAAUUGAGCUGGGACGAAACCAAUAGCCAGACUUACAUAUGUACGACCCUGGUCUUGCUCUUUUUCAACACAUUUCUUCUUGUCGCCGUCGGUUUAUACUUUUAUUUCAAGCCAAAAAGACAAUAUGAAACAAUCACUCCAUCAUGAUCGCCGUCGACCGAUGGGGCAUCCGAUGCGCCCUCGCUUCUCCUCCUUUGGUCAAUGAGAUUUAUGUUUCUUGGGGAUGACUACUGAUAAAAUACAGCCUUAUGAUGUCUUCCAACGAUCCACACCGCUCUUGCAGUAAAGAAAAAGAAGUAAAAAUCCGUGACCCCACCUCCAGUACCAUUAGUUUUUUUGAAUAUUCCAAUCGCCAUUUAUCUAGGGGAUUUGAAGAAAACCAAGGUGGCCUCCUUGCUAAAGAGCGUGAAGAAGAAUCAGUACUUGAAGAAAACAAAGGAAAGAAACGUCAGUCGAGAGCAUGCAGUUUAGAAAAGGGCGCCCCUCCAAAAAAGGUAGAGGAGAAGAAGGGCCAUGAUCGCCAUGCCCCUAAGAAAACUGAUAGCCGGACCAAGCAGAAGCAGGGAAAUCCUUACGCUAUUGUGGUGGAACGUAAUCAAAAUUGGUCUCAGUGCAGUGUGGGCAGUGACGAGAUUUGUCUGAAUAAACCCAGUUUCAGUAAAGUUAGUGGUGCUACUGGAACGGAUAGUACCUCGGUGAACUCAUCGCCCUCUGCGGACUUACAACGGAUAUCAUGAUGUUAUGAACGAUCUUCUACCACAUGAAAAAUGAGAGUGUGAGCAAUUAUAAAAGAAAAACGAGAAUGCCCGGCAAUUUUGUUAGUGUUGAUCGUCAAGAUGCUGAUUAUUUUAAUGACACUCCGUGAGGACGAAAUGGAUCAAGCCCAAAAGACAUUUGAAGGAUAUCAGAAGAGGAUUGGAGGAUUGACAUCGAUUUAGAGAAAUCGUAAAUCCUGUAUUGACAUAAACCUCAGUUAGUAAGAAAUUCCAUUGUUCUCGCCCGACUGAAGAAGUGUGAUAUUGAAGAAUACAGUCGUCCUGAUGAAAGGGUCGGAAAAGAAUCUGAAAUUAAAAAAAUUGUAAAAUGA